AUGUACUCCUUAUUUACUAAACCUGAAUUUCCCUCCAAUACCUCAUUACCAUAAUGGACCAACAAACCCCCUCCUCUUCCAUCCCCACUCCUUCCACCACCGCAAACGCCACUUCUCAACCUUCUGAACCAUCGCCGACGCAGCCUACACCACCGGCACCUCGACCACCACAGCAACAACAACAACAGCCACCACCAUUACAACCACCUUCUUCCAGCACUCCUUCAGCCCCAUCCCCAACCCCUACUCCAAACCCUAGCCCUAGCCCUAGCCCUAGCCCUAGCCCUAACCCUUCCUUGAGACCUUCAACGUCUAACUCACUGACUCAGCCCCAAUCUCAGCCUAAUUCUGCCUCUAGGCCGCAAUCGUUGCAUAGACCAUGGCAGCAUCCUCACCCACAUUCCCACUUCCCGCACUUCUCCUCGAUCACUUCGCCGUCUUCUUCUCUUCCAGCUUCCUCUGGCCUUUCCUUGUCAUCGUCUGCUUCACCUUCUAUUACCGCCUCGCAACAAAGGGGUGGCGUUGCUAUUGGUGUUCCGGCGCCUCACCCUAGCCCUUCUCCGGCUCCUUUUUCGUCCUCUUUUGGGCAGCAAUAUGGGGGAUUGAGUCGCGGAACAGUUAAUAUGCCUGAUUCUGUAGCUAAUACUAGCAGUUCACAGGUGAGACAGGGGAUGCAGGGAGUGCAGGGAGUGGGAAUGGUAGGAUCAAUGAGUUCGACUUCUCAAAUUCGUCCAGUUGGAAUUCCAGCACAUCAUCAACAGAGACCUGUUCAAUCAUCUAUUAGACCUCCCACUUCAUCCCCAAAUAACCAGUCUCCUACCACCCAAAAUUUUCAAGGGCAUGGUUUUAUGAGACCCUCGUCUGUAGGUCCUCCUAGUUCUUCAGCACCAAACACAUCACAAAGUAUGCAGUCCCCUAGUCAGCCAUGGUUGUCAUCUGGAUCUCAAGGCAAGCCUCCAUUGCCUUCCCCUUCAUAUAGGACACAGAUAAGCACACCGUCUUUGCAACAAAGGUCACAUAUUCCUCAGCAACACCAUUCCCUGACAACAACUUCGCAGCAGCAGCAGCACAUGUCAUCUGCACAAACGCAGCAACCUUUACCUUCACAUCAACCAUCAGAUCAUUAUGGACAACAAUUUCCGGCAAGGAUUCCACGGUCCAUAACCCAACAGCUUGCCCUUCAAGGUUCAGCAAACCCAAAGCCACCUUCCUUACCAAUGGUACAGCCUAAUACUGUACAGCCAACCACCCAGAAUAGGACAACUAAUGUAGAAAAUGAUGAACCUGGUAACCGGAUUCUUAGCAAAAGAAGUAUCAAUGAGUUAGUUAGCCAGAUCGACCCAUCUGAGAAAUUGGAUCCAGAAGUUGAAGACAUUCUUGCAGAUAUAGCUGAUGAAUUUGUUGAUUCUAUCACAACAUUUGGGUGUUCUUUAGCUAAACAUAGAAAAUCUGACACAUUGGAAGCAAAAGACAUACUUCUACAUCUUGAAAGAAAUUGGAAUAUGACCCUCCCAGGAUUUAGUAGUGAUGAGAUUAAAACCUAUCGAAAACCGAUUACAAGUGAUAUCCAUAAGGAACGACUUGCAGCAAUAAAGAAGUCAGUUUUGGCAACUGAGAUGACAAAUGCUAAAAGCUCUAUUGGACAAGCUGCUGGAAAUGCAAAGAGUAACUUGUCAAAGACACCCGCAAAUGUCAUGGUCUCUCCCAACCUAAAGAAUCGUGAUGUUACUUGAGAUGUUUAGUAUUGGUACCAGAUGUGGGCAGCUUUUUGGCUAGAAAGGUCCGAUGAACUUUUUAUGGAUGAAUAUUUUUAUUCUUGGUGCUCUAUUUGGCUUUGAUUUAGGUAGUUCCAAUGCUGGUAAAAUACUUGCAUUGCAUGUGGUGUACAUGUUCUGAUGCAGUGAUGCUUUCCUAUUGGCACACAUGUGAUGGUCUCAAAUCAAUUUUCGAGUUCUCAUGCUACCUCAUGUGAAAUUUUGGCAUGAGAGUGAUAAUAAGAUAUCACCGAGAUUUUUGUCUGCUUUGGUCGAAACAAGGCAUGUGAAUUUUUUCUUUGUCCUUAAAAAGGGCCACCGAACGGCGGAGCCACUUUCCUUUUGCGGGGGAACAGUAAGUUUGCACAGCCGAUAUAUGGUCAAUGGCUGGCUUAUUGAGCUCUGGUUUUUAUGGUGCAAUUCAUUACUUAUGAGGUCUUUUUCCUAUUUUAAGCCUUUGGCUGUGCACCAGCUAAAAAUGAAAUGAGCCCCUUUUGUAUUAUUGGAAAGUAAGUAGGGAGGAGAAGUAGCUGCCAUUGAACUUGCUAAUCUUAUAGGCGGAUUUGAAGUGAAGAAAAGGUCAAACAUAGUAAAUAGCCAAAGGUGUUGGUGGAUGUAACUUGGUACACUUGCUGAGAAUUUUGAUAGAACCUCAUUAAUCAUGUUAGAAAUGAGAUAUUGAUUAGUGAGUUGCAUUUUCUGCCAUUGAUAUUUGUAUUGUUCUUAUGAGUGCUUUUAUUUGAAAUCGAACAUGUUCGCUGUGGGGCAGAAAA